rnacentral:rRNA from 1 species
GAUGAACGCUGGCGGCGCGCCUAACACAUGCAAGUCGAACGGCACCCCUCUCCGGAGGGAAGCGAGUGGCGAACGGCUGAGUAACACGUGGAGAACCUGCCCCCUCCCCCGGGAUAGCCGCCCGAAAGGACGGGUAAUACCGGAUACCCCGGGGUGCCGCAUGGCACCCCGGCUAAAGCCCCGACGGGAGGGGAUGGCUCCGCGGCCCAUCAGGUAGACGGCGGGGUGACGGCCCACCGUGCCGACAACGGGUAGCCGGGUUGAGAGACCGACCGGCCAGAUUGGGACUGAGACACGGCCCAGACUCCUACGGGAGGCAGCAGUGGGGAAUCUUGCGCAAUGGGGGGAACCCUGACGCAGCGACGCCGCGUGCGGGACGGAGGCCUUCGGGUCGUAAACCGCUUUCAGCAGGGAAGAGUCAAGACUGUACCUGCAGAAGAAGCCC